rnacentral:rRNA from 1 species
UCCCUGAUGUUAGCGGCGGACGGGUGAGUAACACGUGGGUAACCUGCCUGUAAGACUGGGAUAACUCCGGGAAACCGGGGCUAAUACCGGAUGGUUGUUUGAACCGCAUGGUUCAGACAUAAAAGGUGGCUUCGGCUACCACUUACAGAUGGACCCGCGGCGCAUUAGCUAGUUGGUGAGGUAAUGGCUCACCAAGGCAACGAUGCGUAGCCGACCUGAGAGGGUGAUCGGCCACACUGGGACUGAGACACGGCCCAGACUCCUACGGGAGGCAGCAGUAGGGAAUCUUCCGCAAUGGACGAAAGUCUGACGGAGCAACGCCGCGUGAGUGAUGAAGGUUUUCGGAUCGUAAAGCUCUGUUGUUAGGGAAGAACAAGUACCGUUCAAAUAGGGCGGUACCUUGACGGUACCUAACCAGAAAGCCACGGCUAACUACGUGCCAGCAGCCGCGGUAAUACGUAGGUGGCAAGCGUUGUCCGGAAUUAUUGGGCGUAAAGGGCUCGCAGGCGGUUUCUUAAGUCUGAUGUGAAAGCCCCCGGCUCAACCGGGGAGGGUCAUUGGAAACUGGGGAACUUGAGUGCAGAAGAGGAGAGUGGAAUUCCACGUGUAGCGGUGAAAUGCGUAGAGAUGUGGAGGAACACCAGUGGCGAAGGCGACUCUCUGGUCUGUAACUGACGCUGAGGAGCGAAAGCGUGGGGAGCGAACAGGAUUAGAUACCCUGGUAGUCCACGCCGUAAACGAUGAGUGCUAAGUGUUAGGGGGUUUCCGCCCCUUAGUGCUGCAGCUAACGCAUUAAGCACU